AAGAACCAUCUCCAGAGCGAAAAAAACCAGGUGCCCUUGGCCAGUCCUAUCUCCCAAGUUUGUGAGUCUCUAAAGCCAGCCCUGUCCUUGGCGGACUUGAGGGCACUGGACCCAACGCAUUUUUCUGGCUGCCGAGGCCUCUGAGGGGGUUUCUUGUCAGCUCAGCAGGUUUUUGGGUUGCAGGUUUCCACGUCUAUCAAAUGGGGACUAUCAUGCCUACUUCAGAAGAGCAUCUGUGCAGAUUGAGUGACCCCCCAGCAGUGUCUGCAUGUAGUAGGUGCUCAGCCAUGCUCCCCAGGCCAGGACACAGCGCUGCCCACUCCCGCUCAGCCCAGCCCCUGCCUCCUCCAGCCCCAGCCCUCCCCUGGGACGCUCCCU
rnacentral:lncRNA from 10 species